rnacentral:snRNA from 1 species
AUCACGUCUCAGCUUUUUGGUUAAGAUCAAGUGUAAUAUCUGUUCUUAUCAGUUUAAUAUAUUUAUUUUUUAGAGUCAAUAUUAUCCAAAUAAUAUUUCCCAAAAGACAUUUG